AAUAGAUACCCAGGUAGUCCACCCCGUAAACGUUGGGAACUAGCUGUGGGGACCAUUCCACGGUUUCCGUGACGCAGCUAACGCAUUAAGUUCCCCGCCUGGGGAGUACGGCCGCAAGGCUAAAACUCAAAGGAAUUGACGGGGACCCGCACAAGCGGCGGAGCAUGCGGAUUAAUUCGAUGCAACGCGAAGAACCUUACCAAGGCUUGACAUAUACGAGAACGGGCCAGAAAUGGUCAACUCUUUGGACACUCGUAAACAGGUGGUGCAUGGUUGUCGUCAGCUCGUGUCGUGAGAUGUUGGGUUAAGUCCCGCAACGAGCGCAACCCUCGUUCUAUGUUGCCAGCACGUAAUGGUGGGAACUCAUGGGAUACUGCCGGGGUCAACUCGGAGGAAGGUGGGGAUGACGUCAAAUCAUCAUGCCCCUUAUGUCUUGGACUUCACGCAUGCUACAAUGGCCGGUACAAAGGGCUGCAAUACCGUAAGGUGGAGCGAAUCCCAAAAAGCCGGUCCCAGUUCGGAUUGAGGUCUGCAACUCGACCUC
rnacentral:rRNA from 1 species